UCUGACAGGACACCAACUGUGUCUGAGAGA
rnacentral:piRNA from 1 species